rnacentral:tRNA from 1 species
AGCAAUGAGAAAAUCCUAUUUCACUCUUCGACUUACAAGACCGAUAUUUAAACUUAAACUUUCAUUGC